UUACGUCUCUUCUUUUCCUGAUUCAACAUUUUUCUCUCAAAAGUUAUAGAUUCUAUGUAGAGAUUCAUCGGCAAAGCUUAUUCUUUUGAAUCUAUCUCCUUUAUUUUCGUGUUCGUAUCUUAGACCAGGAGGAGUAGCAAUGAGUCUUAUUCACCAAUCGACAAAGACAAUGAAGGACCAGAAAGAGACGUGAGCUUGGGUCAACAACAACAAGAGCUUCUGCGUUUGUGUCUUUCAUCUACUACCUUCUCCUUACGGCAUGUGUUUAGCUGCAGACCCUUUCGUCUCGUACGACUUCAAAGUCUCGAAAUUCCUCAACAGGUUUGGCUUUGUUUUUAAUCUGUAAUAGUCAUCUCUCAUCUCUCUCUAUCUAUUUGUUUUUAAUCUGAUUUUUUUCUGUGUUUAGUAAAGGUCGUGGCCGUGAGCAAGAGGACCCAUCUCGAACUCGCCUCCGUCACGACCCGUCGUCACCGGUCUUGAGCUUGUCUUCACCGGUCUCGAACUCGUCCCUGUAGUCAUCGAUGAUGCCGGAGAUGGAGAUGAAUAGACGAAGACAUCGAGAAGAAAGAGGCAAAGGAGCAAGGAGGCGGCAGUAGAAAGAUUAGGUUUAGGGUUAAUUAUGUUUAUAUUUUGGUUUAGCGUUAAAUAGAUUUUGGUUAAUGUGUUCUGGUUUACUUAAUUUUAUUUAAUGCUGGUUUAGUUUUCUAAAACUAAUUUUAUUUGUAAAUUAUUUUAAUUAAUAAAUAUAAUUCAUCUUCAAUUUUAAAUUUAAAUUAAUUCUAAUUUAUAUUAUAAAUCAAUUUUAAUUUUAAUUAAUAAUUAAAAAUAAAUAAUUAAAAUUUAUAAUUUUAAAAUAUAAAUGAGAUAUAAAAUUAAUAAUUUUAAAAUAUAAAUGAGAUUUAAUAGCAUUAUAUCAAUGUCGUUAUAAAAUAUUAUACAACAUUAAAAAAAUGCCAUGAAAAACUAAAUCAUAGCACGAAUAAAAAAGUAUAAAACAUUAAUUUAUAGCUCAUAAAUAAACGCUACAAUAUCUAUACUUUUUAUAGCACACGAAAAUACGCUACGAUAAAGUGGGGUUGUAAAUAGAUACUAUUUUGUGUAAAACAAUAUAUAAGUAUUUCUUUCAUACCUUAACCCCGUAUCAUGAAUCAUGAUUUCAAAUCUAAUACUUUAUAAACCUAUACCCUAAGCCCCAUAUCCCAAACCCUAAAACAUAAAGAGUAAAUUAUAUAAUCUUAAUCAUAAACGUAAAAUUAUAAAUAAUAAAUCGAAAUUUUAAUCAUUAACAACAUCUAUAACCUAAAUUUGACUAUUACAUAUAUAACAUACAUAUAAAAUCAACUUAAAUCAAUAGAUCUGAUCGGUAGAGAUUACUUAAAACAAAGUGGAAGAAAAAAGAAAAAAGAAAAACAAAGAAAAUCUGUCAUUGGUUAAUAUCUCAAACACAAGAUAACCUUACGAGCCCUUGAUAUCUUCAUAUCUUCUAAUCCAACGGACUGGAUCAAUUUGCGACAAAGGCAUUAUCUUUGACUUCCACGCAUCAGAAACGAGUGGCCUAAAAUGCAUUGAAACACCCAUUUUUUAAUAUAAACUAAAAAAAAAUAUUUCAUUGGUCAAUUUUUGAUGGCAUGGAUUACAAUCUGUGGCCAUUCAUUAAUCAUGAUCCAAUGGCUAAAAACAUUUUAUCCUUCUGCUCAUCUCUCUCCGUCUGCAAGUUGUUUAUGUCUUAGAAGAAAAUUACCGGGGGGGGGGGUUUUAGGCGAAAAAGUGGUAUGGGCCUCACCAAAAAGGGGAGACCGUUGUUUUCUAUCGCGAAAUAAGAGACGUCUUUUGCUCUGUUUUGCGGGCUCUACUGACACGUGGCGAUUCGCGAUUGGUUCAUUUUUAAAUUUUUUUUUUUUAAAUCAGAAAAAAAAUAAAAAAUAGGAAAUAGGUAUUUGCGGUGCUCUUACGUCUCUUCUUUUCCUGAUUCAACAUUUUUCUCUCAAAAGUUAUAGAUUCUAUGUAGAGAUUCAUCGGCAAAGCUUAUUCUUUUGAAUCUAUCUCCUUUAUUUUCGUGUUCGUAUCUUAGACCAGGAGGAGUAGCAAUGAGUCUUAUUCACCAAUCGACAAAGACAAUGAAGGACCAGAAAGAGACGUGAGCUUGGGUCAACAACAACAAGAGCUUCUGCGUUUGUGUCUUUCAUCUACUACCUUCUCCUUACGGCAUGUGUUUAGCUGCAGACCCUUUCGUCUCGUACGACUUCAAAGUCUCGAAAUUCCUCAACAGGUUUGGCUUUGUUUUUAAUCUGUAAUAGUCAUCUCUCAUCUCUCUCUAUCUAUUUGUUUUUAAUCUGAUUUUUUUCUGUGUUUAGUAAAGGUCGUGGCCGUGAGCAAGAGGACCCAUCUCGAACUCGCCUCCGUCACGACCCGUCGUCACCGGUCUUGAGCUUGUCUUCACCGGUCUCGAACUCGUCCCUGUAGUCAUCGAUGAUGCCGGAGAUGGAGAUGAAUAGACGAAGACAUCGAGAAGAAAGAGGCAAAGGAGCAAGGAGGCGGCAGUAGAAAGAUUAGGUUUAGG
rnacentral:lncRNA from 1 species